UACAGAGGGUGCGAGCGUUAAUCGGAAUUACUGGGCGUAAAGCGUGCGUAGACGGUUAUUUAAGUCGGGUGUGAAAGCCCCGGGCUCAACCUGGGAAUUGCAUUCGAGACUGAAUAGCUAGGGUACGGUAGAGGGAAGCGGAAUUUCCGGUGUAGCGGUGAAAUGCGUAGAUAUUCGCAAGAACACCAGUGGCGAAGGCGGCUCACUGGCCCGAUACUGACGCUGAGGCACGAAAGCGUGGGGAGCAAACAGG
rnacentral:rRNA from 1 species